rnacentral:tRNA from 1 species
GUUUCCAUAGUGUAGUGGUUAUCACGUUUGCCCAUCGCGAAAAGGUCCCCAGUUCGAAAACUGGGUGGAAACA